CUUGGGGGGAGGGGGAGACAAAGUUUGUUUUGUCAAUGUUCAAUAACUUUGUAAUAUUAGCUGGAAUGGUCUCAAGGGUUUUGUCGAAGAUUGUAGCUGGCCUCAUUUUGUAGACUCCGUGUUCUGGCUUGAGGGUUUUUUAAUUGUCAUGUGAUGACCAACAUACAGUUUUCAGAAAUAGUGAUAUUUUCGCAUAGUUAACGA